rnacentral:lncRNA from 1 species
UGUCAGGACAUCAACCCAGGAUGUUAAAAGGAAGAUGAGGGCUGGAGAGAUGGCUCAGCCGUUAAAGGAUAAGCUCACAACCAAAAAUAAAAGGAAGAUGAAAGAGGAUUACACUUGCAUUCAGAGUAAUUGCUGGGGUUGCAGGCCUGCACCAUCAGACCUGUGACUUAGUGAGGAGCACUGCAAGUGAAGCACAGUAGCCCCCUGUUCCUGGAGCGACUGCUUUCAGUGGUAUCCUCUUCUCUAGGCAAUGGUAUUAGAUAAUCAUGUGAUUCAGAUGUAAAUUCCCUAAAUGGAAGGGAUGAGAAGCAGGUGCUGGGAAUGAAACCCAGGGCCUUAUGAGGCAAUGUAUUGGCCUGGAAAUAUCCUGAGUGAAGUAACCCAGUCCCAAAAGGAUAUGCAUGGUAUGCACUCCCUGAUAAGUGGAUAUUCUCCAAAAAUACAAAAUACCCAUGAUAUACCCCCACAGGAUCUAAGAAGUUAAACAAGAAUGAAGGCCCAGUGUGAAGAUGGAACCUUAAAAGACUAUCUCCAGGAAAUAGGACUCUUCUGGUCUCUAUCUGCUUUCAGACCUAAGGCUGUCCCACAGCCCUUCAGACCAAAACAUGCCCAGAGAGAACUGGUCUCUCAGGAGCGCACUCACUCCUAAGCCCACAGCUCUGCUGAAAUGAAGAGAGAAAAGAAGGAAGAAAGAUAAAGAAAGAAAGAGGUCAAGGUAGGGAAG